UACGGAGGGUGCAAGCGUUAUCCGGAUUCACUGGGUUUAAAGGGUGCGUAGGUGGCUUUGUAAGUCAGUGGUGAAAUCUCGGAGCUUAACUCCGAAACUGCCAUUGAUACUGCUUAGCUUGAAUCAAGUAGAGGUGGAUGGAAUAAUACAUGUAGCGGUGAAAUGCUUAGAUAUGUAUUAGAACACCGAUUGCGAAGGCAGUUCACUAUGCUUGUAUUGACACUGAGGCACGAAAGCGUGGGGAUCAAACAGG
rnacentral:rRNA from 1 species